GAUGAACGCUGGCGGCGUGCCUAAUACAUGCAAGUCGAGCGAACGGACGAGAAGCUUGCUUUUCUGAUGUUAGCGGCGGACGGGUGAGUAACACGUGGAUAACCUACCUAUAAGACUGGGAUAACUUCGGGAAACCGGAGCUAAUACCGGAUAAUAUUUUGAACCGCAUGGUUCAAAAGUGAAAGACGGUCUUGCUGUCACUUAUAGAUGGAUCCGCGCUGCAUUAGCUAGUUGGUAAGGUAACGGCUUACCAAGGCAACGAUGCAUAGCCGACCUGAGAGGGGGAUCGGCCACACUGGAACUGAGACACGGUCCAGACUCCCACGGGGGGCAGCAGUAGGGAAUCUUCCGCAAUGGGCGAAAGCCUGACGGAGCAACGCCGCGUGAGUGAUGAAGGUUUUCGGAUCGUAAAACUCUUUUAUUAGGGAAGAACAUUUGUUUAAGUAACUGUGCACAUCUUGACGGUACCAAAUCAGAAAGCCCCGGCUAACUACGU
rnacentral:rRNA from 1 species